UACAGAGGUCUCAACCGUUGUUCGGAUUCAUUGGGCGUAAAGGGUGCGUAGGCGGCGGGGUAAGUCAGGUGUGAAAUCUCGGGGCUUAACUCCGAAACUGCAUUCGAUACUGCCGUGCUUGAGGACUGGAGAGGAGACUGGAAUUUACGGUGUAGCGGUGAAAUGCGUAGAUAUCGUAAGGAAGACCAGUGGCGAAGGCGGGUCUCUGGACAGUUCCUGACGCUGAGGCACGAAGGCCAGGGGAGCAAACGGG
rnacentral:rRNA from 1 species